rnacentral:rRNA from 1 species
GAGUUUGAUCCUGGCUCAGAUUGAACGCUGGCGGAAUGCUUUACACAUGCAAGUCGAACGGCAGCACGGGGCAACCUGGUGGCGAGUGGCGAACGGGUGAGUAAUACAUCGGAACGUGCCCAAUCGUGGGGGAUAACGUAGCGAAAGUUACGCUAAUACCGCAUACGAUCUACGGAUGAAAGCGGGGGAUCGCAAGACCUCGCGCGAAUGGAGCGGCCGAUGUCAGAUUAGGUAGUUGGUGGGGUAAAGGCUCACCAAGCCAACGAUCUGUAGCUGGUCUGAGAGGACGACCAGCCACACUGGAACUGAGACACGGUCCAGACUCCUACGGGAGGCAGCAGUGGGAAUUUUGGACAAUGGGCGCAAGCCUGAUCCAGCCAUUCCGCGUGCAGGAUGAAGGCCUUCGGGUUGUAAACUGCUUUUGUACGGAACGAAAAGGUCCUGGUUAAUACCUGGGGCUCAUGACGGUACCGUAAGAAUAAGCACCGGCUAACUACGUG